rnacentral:rRNA from 1 species
CUACGGGAGGCAGCAGUGGGGAAUAUUGGACAAUGGGCGCAAGCCUGAUCCAGCCAUGCCGCGUGAGUGAUGAAGGCCCUAGGGUUGUAAAGCUCUUUCACCGGUGAAGAUAAUGACGGUAACCGGAGAAGAAGCCCCGGCUAACUUCGUGCCAGCAGCCGCGGUAAUACGAAGGGGGCUAGCGUUGUUCGGAAUUACUGGGCGUAAAGCGCACGUAGGCGGAUCGGUCAGUUAGGGGUGAAAUCCCGGGGCUCAACCCCGGAACUGCCUCUAAUACUGCCGAUCUAGAGUUCGAGAGAGGUGAGUGGAAUUCCGAGUGUAGAGGUGAAAUUCGUAGAUAUUCGGAGGAACACCAGUGGCGAAGGCGGCUCACUGGCUCGAUACUGACGCUGAGGUGCGAAAGCGUGGGGAGCAAACAGGAUUAGAUACCCCAGUAGUCC